rnacentral:misc_RNA from 1 species
GGAAUAUUGGACAAUGGGCGAAAGCCUGAUCCAGCCAUGCCGCGUGGAUGAUGACGGCCCUAGGGUUGUAAAGUCCUUUCGACGGGGAAGAUAAUGACGGUACCCGUAGAAGAAGCCCCGGCUAACUUCGUGCCAGCAGCCGCGGUAAUACGAAGGGGGCUAGCGUUGCUCGGAAUCACUGGGCGUAAAGCGCACGUAGGCGGCUUUCUAAGUCAGGGGUGAAAUCCUGGAGCUCAACUCCAGAACUGCCUUUGAUACUGGAGAGCUUGAGUUCGGGAGAGGUGAGUGGAACUGCGAGUGUAGAGGUGAAAUUCGUAGAUAUUCGCAAGAACACCAGUGGCGAAGGCGGCUCACUGGCCCGAUACUGACGCUGAGGUGCGAAAGCGUGGGGAGCAAACAGGA